CACGUAGGCACCAAGCGUUGUCCGGAUUUAUUGGGCGUAAAGAGCUCGUAGGCGGUUGAGUAAGUCGGGUGUGAAAACUCUGGGCUUAACCCAGAGCCGCCACUCGAUACUGCUCUGACUUGAGUUCGGUAGGGGAGCAGGGAAUUCCUAGUGUAGCGGUGAAAUGCGCAGAUAUUAGGAGGAACACCGGUGGCGAAGGCGCUGCUCUGGGCCGAAACUGACGCUGAGGCGCGAAAGCCAGGGGAGCAAACGGG
rnacentral:rRNA from 1 species